AGGAGGAAUCGGCUCCUUGAGAAAGAGAGAAGCCGAGAAUUGAGAGAGAGAGAAAUAGUAUGGGUUGUGUUAUUUGGGCCAUUCCCUUAUGUGAUUUGGGCCGAAUGAUUUUAAAAAUUUGGGCUUUUGUUUUAAUUGGUUUUGGGCCAACCUUUAUUAUUUUAUUGGGUCUAGACUAAUUUAUUUUCAGUUGGGCCGAACUCAUUUAAUUGUUUGGGCUCGAAUUGUUUUAAUUGUUUUGGGCCAAAGACUUUUAAGUUCGGGCUUGAUUUUAAUUGCUUGGGCUUUCACAGUUAAAUUCGAAUUGGGCCAGUCUUUUAUUUAAUUGGCCCUUCUCAUUAAUUCUAUUGGGCUUGAUUUAUUUAAGGAGUUGGGCUGAUGCAUAUUUUAUGAUGGGCUAUUAUUCUAAUUCCAUUAUUAUUUCGUUGGGACUCGUUUGAUUUAUUUAAUUGAGCCCAACUAAUCAAAUUAUUUAUUCAUGGGACUAAGAUUUAUUCUUUUCAGCCCACAUUAAUUACUAUUAUCACUUGGGCUGAAGUUACUCCUUUGAGUUAAGCCUAGCAGUAUCUAUUAUGAUGGAGCCCAAUUAUUUAUCAGUGGGUGAGCCGAUUCGUAUUCAGUAAAUGAGCCGCCCAGUUUAUUUAAUAUUGUUUUUGGACUUCAGACUUUAAAGCAAGCCAUUACUGUUUAUUUCAUUAAGGCCACUGGUUUAUUUAAUUAAUUGGCUACUCUCUUUUGAGCCUAUUAAUUAUUUGAGGUUUAGUAAUUAUGUUUCUAUCGAAAAGCCCGACAGUUUCCACGAGCUCACAUCUUGAGAAAAGCCUAGUUAAUUCUUUUAUUUCGAACGAGUACAAAGGCGAGAUUUAUUUCACGACUAGAAUAUUCCGAUAAGGAAGAAAGAAUCACAGCUUUAUUCGACCGCGUUAUAUGAGAAUUAAUUAAAUCUAUUAACAAGGAUUAAUAGUAGAAUUCCCGAUUAUCUCAGAAUAAUAGUUCAUGCAUACGAGAUUCAUGCAUAGUUAAAUUACGCUUUCUCAUUAAUUGAGAAUUUUCCUCGAGGCAAUGUCUUAUUUUAUAUUCUCGUGAUUAAGGUCAAGCGCGAGAGUAAGAACUAUUCAAGAAGUCACAGUACCUUAGCAAAACUUUGCUAUCAGGUUGAGCUGUGAUGGGCGAUGAAGUGUUGUUGCUGAGUAGAGUUUUUGUCGAACUUAAAGUAGGCUCAGAAAGGAUACAUGUCUUCAUACAUGUAUCUCAGUUAUGCAUUCCGCUGUAAACACUGAUUAUUUCAGUUACACCUUCCGUUGCAAACUCUGAUAAUGUUUUAGCCAAGCCCCUAACGAUGCCUUUUUCCUUUUUAAGGAAUAUAACGCGUAUACAAGUUCUUUGA